rnacentral:rRNA from 1 species
AUGGCUCGCUCCGUCCACCUUCGCGCCCUUGUCGCCCGCAGCAUCUCCGGCGACACCGACCCGAGCGGACGCUACAUCUCCGGGAAAGCCCGGUACACGAAGGGGAGAGCGUGUACGACACCGUUGAACCCGGUCGGGGUGGCGAGCAAGUGGAUUUGGACUGCUACUAUGAUUUCUGAUCUUGGUGCUGGUGCGCAUUUGUCACAAGUUUCGAAAUGCGUAACAAUUGUCGCAGCUGUGUGGUUCCUUCAAGUUAUGAAAAAGAACUUUCUAUCCAGCGCAUUUAUGCAUUCUGAAGGUCUAAAGGUUUACAAGCAUUGGUUGGGGGCUUUUGACAAGGUUUCUUCAUUGGGAUUGAUUGCUAUUGGCCUUCUUAGAGUUGCAUGGGCAUGUGGGGUACCAUUUGAGUCGUUAUUAGCUGUUAGUGGUAUUAGAGGUAAUACUCUAAAUGCCAUACACCUACUCAAUAUGUAUUGCAACUGCCUUUGCUACUACAUUGUCCUGGGCAAUGUAUUGAGUGGAUUCUACUUGCAGCUUUCAAGGCCAUUCUCAGUUGGAGAGUCCAUAAAGUUGCCUUUUCAUGCCGGGUCAAUAGAGGGUUUGGUGAUUGAGAUAAGGCUAACAUCUACAUUAUUGAUAAAUUUGGAGAGGUUUCCUGUUUUAGUACCCGACUCACUAUUAGUUGGUCAGAUCCCAUGCUCAAUGGGUAUUAUCUGUAAAAUUCCCAUAAAAAUUCAGAGUAUGGAUAAGGUUCAUGCAAUAUCUGAAAAUAUCAUGGAGAAGUUAAGGGCAUAUCCAGAAGUUAGCUUGAAAGCAGAUGCUCCUUAUUGUUAUCUCACGAGAUUGGGAGAUUUGUAUGGUGAGUUCACAAUUGGCUGCUGCCUCCAGAACAUGAGAAAUGAAGAAGUGCUAUGUGCUCAACAAAAGAUUCUCAUUGAUAGCUAG